ACGUGUCACGCACACUAGAACUAGAACGAACUAGAAUGAACCAGAAAUUUCUCAUUAGAAGAAAAAUGAUUGAAGUUGGUGGUAUAUUUAAAACGUUUAAAACAUUCUCAGCAUUCUCAGUAUAUCGCAUACAUAAGUGUGGACUAUUAUAACAUGCACAGUGUUAUUUUCAAUAGCACAAAAGAAUACAAAAUUUUAAGAGCUAACAAUGGAACUUUCUAUGACCCCUGAUGUUUUGGGUGAUGUGGAUGGAUUUGGAGGUCUUUUGGGUAUUCCUCUUGGCCAGCCACAUGCUCUGGAAACCUACGGUACUAAGUGCAGAAGGUAAGGUGUGAAAGUCAUAUGAUUUCAAGCUUACACGGCGACUGUGUGCGGCCAAGACUUCUUGAACGAACAGCCAUGUUAGAGUGUGGAGUUAGUAUCGAGCAUUUCAGACACACUCUCUCUGUCAUCACUGGCAGGGUUCAGUGUGACGAGUGUUUCCUGCUCAUACUGUAUUUCUGCCACAACAUAUUUGCACUACUGGAGGAGCAUUGGGUGAAAUCAUGCAGUGAGCAUUCACAGUCCAUGUUGCUUCAUGUUGGUCUAUUCUUAUCAUUCAUUUUUAUGGAAAGGAACAAAAAAAAAAGAA